GUUGAACGCUGGCGGCGUGCUUAACACAUGCAAGUCGAGCGAGAAGUGGAGGCGGGCACCUUCGGUCGGCAGACUUUGCGUCGGUUGGCGGUCGGGUGAGUAACGCUUGUGGAACCUGCCUUAUACAGGGGGGUACCAGUUCGGAAUGAGUGUUAAUACCGCAUGAGACCAAAGCUCCGCACUGUGGGGGGGUAAAAAGUCCGGGUGGAUGUGACUGACCCGCGUGCGAUUGGCCAGUUAGGGGCGUAACGGCCCACCAAAGUGACGAUCGAUAGCCGGUCAGGGAGGAUGACCGGCCACACUUGGAGUGAGACACGGCCGAAAAUCUUACGGGAGGCAGCAGUGCGGAAUACAGCACUAUGGCGGAAAUCAUGAAGCUGCGACGCCGCGUGAGUGCAGAAAUAUUUCGGUAUGGAAAGCUCUAUCAGCACGGAAGAAAUUGACAUUACCAGAAGAAGAAGCCCCGGCUAACUACGUG
rnacentral:rRNA from 1 species